rnacentral:rRNA from 1 species
UACGUAGGGUGCAAGCGUUGUCCGGAAUUAUUGGGCGUAAAGAGCUCGUAGGCGGUUUGUUGCGUCGGCUGUGAAAUCCCGAGGCUCAACCUCGGGUCUGCAGUCGAUACGAGCAAACUAGAGUGUUGCAGGGGAGACUGGAAUUCCUGGUGUAGCGGUGAAAUGCGCAGAUAUCAGGAGGGAACACCCGGUGGGCGAAAGGCGGGUCUCUGGGCAAUAACUGACGC